rnacentral:rRNA from 1 species
CCCUUAGAUGUUCUGGGCCACACGCGCGCUACAAUGAUGAAUUCAACGAGUUUAUAACCUUGGUUGAAAAGCCUGGGUAAUCUUUUGAACUUUCGUCGUGAUGGGGCUAGACCCUUGCAAUUAUUGGUCUCCAACGAGGAAUUCCUAGUAAACGCAAGUCAUCAGCUUGCAUUGAUUACGUCCCUGCCCUUUGUACACACCGCCCGUCGCACCUACCGAUUGAAUGGUCCGGUGAAAUCUUCGGAUUGAGACUUUGAUUUCUUCACGGAAAACGCUGUUUUAAAAAGUUGAUUAAACCUUACCAUUUAGAGGAAGGUGAAGUCGUAACA